UUGGGACCAGUCGGCAUCUUACAUUCAAACAGUGGGUGACUGUAGCAAGAUGCUAGCAACCAAAGUAAUCAAAAUGAGGUUGAACUUGUCCAGAAAGAAAGUGUGUGACUGAGGCAUAAGACAGCGGCAAACUAAAGCUUUUAUAUACUCCAACAAUAUGGCUUUGAAAAGUUCAGGCGCUAAACUGGCCUGUCUUCAGUCCAAACCCUUCACUCAUUAAAACAAAAAAAUAAUAAUAAUAAUAUGCAUGUUAUAAAGGAAGCCCUGAACUGCUGAGCAGCUGAAUUCGGUAUCAAUUUGCAUCGUCAACAUUUUGAUCCACCGAGUUCCUAAACUGAGUUUUGUUGAUAGAAGACCUGAUGCAACAUGGGGCAAACCUGACCUUGGUGGGAAUUUACACAUCGCUGCGUUAAAAUUAAAAAAAAAAUCAUCACAUUUUAAAAAUAAAGAAACAAAGUUUACUGUUCCUAUAACGACUUUUUGGUAUUUUACACAUGCUCCAAUAGUUAUUCAGAUUGACUCCUUGCCGAGGCGUGAACAAAGGCCAGUUUUCCAUCAGCCUAACCAGGGUCAGACCAUUUUCAUAUUAUCAAGCGCAGUCUCCAAACACUCACUGUACCACUCACCUCAAACUAAUUCCCUUAGUUACUAUUCUACAGCUUAUAAUCUGCUCAUUCUGUAACACAAUUAAAUUCCCAGAGACAAUUACCAUGCUUGUAUUCACACAGCUGCACACAUAGCCACAAACACGUGCACACUCACACACACACCCAUAGCCAGGAUAGUGCAAUUCCCAUCAGUAAUCAGUGCAGCGCAGUGAAGCAGACUCAGCAAACCUGUGAGUGUAGUAAUGGAGAGGGAGUGGUCUGUCUUUAUUGAACCAAUAUAGAGUGAGAAAGGAAAGCCAUAAAACACACACGGCAUCAUUUGUUUCUCCACUGACAUCUAAAAGUAAAACUUUCAGACAUUUUAUAUAAGCUCAGCUCAUUUAUCAUUUCCUUGUGUCACCCAAAAACACCUCCAAGACUGCAACACCCCCCACCCUCUAUCCCAUUUCAUUCAUGAAUCUUUUUUUUUCCUACACCUGAGAAAAAAUUUGAAAUCCGCCACUUUUUCUUUCAGACUGCGAGUGCUACGGCCACUCCAAUCGCUGCAGCUACAUCGACUACCUGAACAUCGUCACAUGCGUCAGCUGCAAGCACAACACCAGGGGCCAGAACUGCCAACACUGCAGACUGGGAUUCUACCGCAACGCCUCUGCCGAACUGGAUGAUGAGAGCGUCUGCAUCGAGUGCAACUGCAACCAGAUGGGCUCUGUUCAUGACCGGUGUAACGGCACAGGUUUCUGUCAGUGUAAAGACGGGGCCACGGGGGCCAAAUGUGACGACUGUCUGCCAGGAUACUACUGGAAGCAAGGCUGUUACCCUAACGUUUGUGACGAGGAAAUGCUCCUGUGCCAGAACGGAGGAACGUGCUACCAGAACCUGAAGUGCAUCUGUCCUCCAGAGUUCAAGGGGGUACUGUGCCAACAUUCGCGCUGUGAGGCGGGCAAGGACUGCAGCGGCGCUUCUUUGCCGCACCCUUCCACGGCCACCCUGCUGCUCGGCACUCUGCUAACCUACCUGCUGGCCACAUUAACGCCCCAUUGAGCCACGAAAAUCCUCCCCACCCCCCAACUCCGCCCACCCCCCUGCCUCACACCUAAAACAUGUGUAUAUGAGCGUAUUUGUGAGGCGACGGGUGACCCAAAAUGGGAAGGGGUCGUCCCUGUAAUGGACCCAACACUGCAGCACUCUUAAAAGCGCACACGCUCACCGAUCACUACUCGACUCCCGUUCCCAUUUCAAACACACAUGCGCACUUCACAGGACUGUAAUGGCACUGGGUGUACACUCAGGUGUGCGAAGGACAAACAGAGAAUAAAUAUGAGCAACCUCACAGAAAAAAGAUGCAGGGGGGGAAGAAAAAUCAUACCAACCACUGUUCCCUUUAUUCCUAAGCUGGAGCAAUGUGCAUCAAACCAAAAAGCAUAGACAAAAACUUAAUCACCACUGUUUCACAUCAAAGGGAAUGGCUGUUGUAAUCACAAGACUUUUCUUUUCUUUUUUUAAAUUUCUUCUCUUUCUCGGUUGACUUGCGGAUCUCACUUGCAACUGUCGUCGAGGGCGUGCGGUCGGGCUCAGAGUGAGGACAAGGCAUGUUGACAAGGGUCGAGCGGAGAGGCGCUUGUUUGAUCCUAUUGCUGAGGCCUACGUAGUAUAUUAACCAGGUUUCAUUUUUUUCUCUUAAUCUGAGACUUGAUUUUACAUUUAUUCUAUUCCUGCUGCAUUUUUUUUCUAAAAAAAAAAAUAUAUAUAUAUAUCUUCAGUCAUUGUAUCUAAUGUGCCCACUAGCAGUUGCUGAGAUUAUACAUAUUAUAUAAUAUCCAGGGGGUUAUGAAUUAUAAUACAUUAGUCACUAUUAUGGUUGUUAUAGGAAUGAGUGAUUGUUGCCACACUUAGCGAGAUUUAAUCUUCACACAGUAUUCAGGAAGAAGAAUUUAACUAAUCAGAAGUCUAAAAGAGAGAGAAAAGAUAUGAACCACGUAUCGAUAUUAUAUGACAUUAUUUGAAUAUUUUUUGUAGAAAUUAUUUUUGUUUGGAGUUACAAUAAAUUAUAAAAAAAAAGAAAUACAUUUACAUCUAUUCCAAAAAGAGCAUUUUAUUACACUGAGUCUAAACCUUGCAGUAAAUAUGACUGUUAAUUUGC